GGAUGUGAGGGUGAUCUGGCUGUGAUAUCUGUCACCCCAUUGAUCGCCAGGGUUGAUUCGGCUUAUCUGGCUGGCUAGGCGGGUGUCCCCUUCCACCCUCACCGUUCCAUGUGCGUCCCUCCCAAAGCUGUGUGCUCGGUGGAAGAAGGACGACCUUCCCCACUAGAGGAGGGACCAGUUUUCUGUCCUUAGAUAAACAAGU
rnacentral:snRNA from 1 species